rnacentral:tRNA from 1 species
CAGGAAGUAGUUUAAUUAGAAUAUCAGCUUUGGGAGUUGAUGGUAAGGUGUAUUAUCUUCUUCUUGA